AAUAAAUACGGAGCGUACAUUUCAGUUUAUAACGCAUUGAAGAUCAGAUAAGGCGAGGAGGCCAGGAAAUCGAAAGAUAUAACUUUGGGAAGAUUGCGGAAGAUGGAGGGUGGUAUUAAGAAGAUGGCAGUGUUGCCAAAUUAUAGAGCCGUAAAAAAAGGUUUAGGAAAUUGUUAAAAAAUACGAGAAAUUCAUGGUUCAGUUGUAGAGUAUUACGCGAUAACCUUAAAGCGAUUGAGAAUACAGCUACGAUUAUAUAA